UACGAAGGGGGCUAGCGUUGUUCGGAAUUACUGGGCGUAAAGCGUGCGCAGGCGGCUUCUCAAGUCAGGGGUGAAAGCCCAGAGCUCAACUCUGGAAUUGCCUUUGAGACUGAGUGGCUUGAGUACGAGAGAGGUGAGUGGAAUUCCCAGUGUAGAGGUGAAAUUCGUAGGAUAUUGGGAAGAACACCGGUGGCGAAGGCGGCUCUCUGGGACGGUACUGACGCUGAGA
rnacentral:rRNA from 1 species